ACGGCUCAGUAACACGUCGGUAACCUGCCCUAUGGUCGAGCAUAACCUCGGGAAACUGAGGGUAAUUCUCGAUAGAUGAUUUCACCUGGAAUGGUAUUUCAUCCAAACACGUGCCAUAGGAUGGGCCGGCGGCUGAUUAGGCUGUUGGUGGGGUAACGGCCCACCAAACCAAAGAUCAGUACGGGCCUUGAGAGAGGUAGCCCGGAGAGGGACACUGAGAUACGGGUCCCAGCCCCACGGGGUGCAGCAGGCGCGAAACCUUUACAAUGCACGAAAGUGUGAUAGGGGGAUACUCAGUGCUUACGCUUAUGGUGUAGGCUUUUGUCGAUCGUAAAUAGAUCGGCGAAUAAGUGGUGGGCAAGACCGGUGCCAGCCGCCGCGGUAACCCCGGCGCCACAAGUGGUUAUCACGAUUAUUGGGCCUAAAGCGUUCGUAGCCGGUCUGGUAAAUCUCUUGUGAAAUUGUUCGGCUUAACCGGACAGCGUGCAGGAGACACUACCAGGCUCGAGACCGGGAGGGGUUAGAAGUAUUCCAUGGGGACUGGUAAAAUGGGAUAAUCCAUGGAAGACUACCGAUGGCGAAGGCAUCUAACCAGAACGGAUCUGACGGUGAGGAACGAAAGCCAGGGGAGCGAACCGGAUUAGAUACCCGAGUAGUCCUGGCCGUAAACGCUGUGAGCUAGGUGCCGCGUAUCCCACGAAGAUGCGCGGUGUCGAAAUGAAGAUGCUAAGCUCACCGCCUGGGAAGUACGGUCGCAAGACUGAAACUUUAAGGAAUUGGCGGGGGAGCAC
rnacentral:rRNA from 1 species